CAGAUAAGAUCAUUUUCAUUGUAUUAUGUUUUACGGGACCUGGUGAAAUUCUGUAUGUUUCUGAAUUACUACAACUUACAGUGUUGCUGCCAAGCUCAAGGGUCCUGGGUGUCAUUUUGAAGUCCUUGACAGUUGACACCAAGCUCCUCCUUGCUGGCUGGCCACAACUGGAAGCUAUGGCCGCUGCCUGGUCUAGUGCGUAGGUGUGUAGGAGAUGAAAGUCUGCAAUAGCCAACUCGCACCAGUAUCAAUUGCACAUGAUAUUUUGAAAUUAUACCGAAUAUAAUUCAAAAGAGGUAAGGUGUUGGACUUGACUCUUCAAGCUAUGCUCAACAAUUCCCUAGUCACUGUUGAAAAACUUAAGCAACGCGCGAAGAACACCUUGAAAUAAUAAUGCGGGGAACGGAAGAUGGAGUAAAGGAUUUUGUGUUAAUGUGUCAUGUUGUAGCAACACUACUUUAAAAACAUCUUUUUUCUGGUGACAUUGCAGUCAGAGAUUUCCAACAGCACUGGGUGCUGAACUGGGAUGUUCAUUGGCCUCCGCUCAACAAUAUAAUAUACUAUAAAUACUUAAAGAUAAUGUGAUUAAAAUCCUUUUACAUGACAGCGGGGUCAGACAAUUCUCUAUGAAAGAUUGUAAUUGUUUGGUUAACAAACUAAUGUCAUGGUCGGAAAUUGUUUUCUUACAUGAAGCCGGACCAAAUUUUAUUUGUAAAAGAUAGUAAUUUAAAAAGAAAGUCCUAAUCAAUGGGGAGUACAUGUAUGCGUAGGUGUCAUUGUCUUUAUAAAUGAACACUCAUCACACUUCAAAU